ACUCCUACGGGAGGCAGCAGUGGGGAAUAUUGCGCAAUGGGCGAAAGCCUGACGCAGCGACGCCGCGUGAGGGAUGACGGCCUUCGGGUUGUAAACCUCUUUCAGCAGGGACGAAGCGAAAGUGACUGUACCUGCAGAAGAAGCACCGGCUAACUACGUGCCAGCAGCCGCGGUAAUACGUAGGGUGCAAGCGUUGUCCGGAAUUAUUGGGCGUAAAGAGCUCGUAGGCGGUUUGUCACGUCGGAUGUGAAAACUCGGGGCUCAACCCCGAGCCUGCAUUCGAUACGGGCAGACUAGAGUUCGGUAGGGGAGACUGGAAUUCCUGGUGUAGCGGUGAAAUGCGCAGAUAUCAGGAGGAACACCGAUGGCGAAGGCAGGUCUCUGGGCCGAUACUGACGCUGAGGAGCGAAAGCGUGGGGAGCGAACAGGAUUAGAUACCCUGGUAGUCCACGCCGUAAACGUUGGGCGCUAGGUGUGGGGCACUUUCCACGUGCUCUGUGCCGCAGCUAACGCAUUAAGCGCCCCGCCUGGGGAGUACGGCCGCAAGGCUAAAACUCAAAGGAAUUGACGGGGGCCCGCACAAGCGGCGGAGCAUGCGGCUUAAUUCGACGCAACGCGAAGAACCUUACCAAGGCUUGACAUAUACGGAAAUCUGGCAGAGAUGUCAGGUCCGCAAGGGCCGUAUACAGGUGGUGCAUGGUUGUCGUCAGCUCGUGUCGUGAGAUGUUGGGUUAAGUCCCGCAACGAGCGCAACCCUCGUUCUAUGUUGCCAGCGCGUUAUGGCGGGGACUCAUAGGAGACUGCCGGGGUCAACUCGGA
rnacentral:rRNA from 1 species